rnacentral:rRNA from 1 species
GAUGAACGCUGGCGGCGUGCUUAACACAUGCAAGUUGAACGAAGCACUUUGAAAGCUUGCUUUUAGAGUGACUGAGUGGCGGACGGGUGAGUAACGCGUGGGUAACCUGCCUUAUUCAGGGGGAUAACAGUUGGAAACGACUGCUAAUACCGCAUAAGCGCACAGUGCCGCAUGGCACAGUGUGAAAAACUCCGGUGGUAUAAGAUGGACCCGCGUCUGAUUAGCUAGUUGGGGAGGUAACGGCUCACCAAGGCGACGAUCAGUAGCCGGCUUGAGAGAGUGAGCGGCCACAUUGGGACUGAGACACGGCCCAGACUCCUACGGGAGGCAGCAGUGGGGAAUAUUGCACAAUGGGGGAAACCCUGAUGCAGCAACGCCGCGUGAGUGAAGAAGUAUUUCGGUAUGUAAAGCUCUAUCAGCAGGGAAGAUAAUGGCGGUACCUGACUAAGAAGCCCCGGCUAACUACGUGCCAGCCGCCGCCGUAA